UCAAGUGUAUUCACUGUACGUUAUCGUGCAGUGCGCCAUUACUGGUUGCUUAUAAUUGUAUACAUGUUGCAUACUAAAUGCUGUAUAUUUUUUAAUUAUUGAAUAAAUUUUUUUUAUUGAAAUUUUGAUAGCUGUUCUGAGAUGCCUAUAUAUUAUGUAGACAUGACAAUAAACUUGAAGUGAUAUUUUGCAAACCAGCAAAGGAUAGUAAAGGUUAGUAAACAGUAUCUGUUUAUCACUGAGCAGACAUAGCAUUUUACAUUUUAUACAGAACAUUUAAAAUGUUAUCUCUUAUAAGUUACUGUUAGUGGUGAUUUUUGCUUUUUUUAAAAUUCCAUAUUUUAAUUUUCUUGAUUAGUGCACCAUUGCAUUUUCUACCUUAUGCCAAAUGCUUUCUCAUUAUUUCAACAGUGCCAAGCCAAAAUUCAACAAAAGUGGCACCUUCCUUAACAUAAAUACAAAAGAGAGGUGAAGAAAGAGAGAAGCAAAUUAUAAAUUAAAUUAAACCAAACAAUUACCCUCUCUGGUCCUACCUGUGUGACUAUUGUGUGACAUCUGUCUGUGGGGUGACUUCCCUGCUUACCUACCUUCAAAAUUACUUCUUUCUUUCUUUCUUUCUUUCUUUCUUUCUUUCUUUCUUUCUUUCUUUCUUUCAUUCAACCCUGUCCUUUUACUCCUGUCAGUUGUGUGUUUGCUCAAACUUGCUCUCUGAUUCCAGACUUAAAGACAUUCUCUUAUGAAGCAGCGUUAAAAUCCCCAGUGAGGACAAUUCCAAGUCCAGGGGUUUGCUGUCCUUAUUUUAUGGAGUCAACAGGUCAACUGAUGUCCCUCCACCCUGAUCCUUUAUUUGUCCAUUAAAAACAGAUUUCUCUGGGCUGCUCAGUAAACAUUCUUACUAAGUACUGUGUGACAUUUUUCAGCAAGGAGGCUUUGCGAGCUCUUUGUAGGCCUUCCUGGCCCCAGUGUCCAUGUAAAGAGUCGUGAAUCCCUGCUCUCUGCUCAGUCACCUCUCUUCUAGCAUCCUAAGAAAAACAUGGCAUACUUUUACCAAAGUCUUUCUUUUUUGUGCUGUUUAUUGCUAUUUCAGUGCAUUUAGCAGAUGAUCCCAUCAUAUUGCCCCCCUUGUGCUUCCUGUUUUCCAAGACCCUCUCUCAACUUUGAAGGUGACACCAAGACCGUAAAACCUUAUUUCACAUGAUCCUGGUGGUGUAGCUGCCUCUAGGUCUUGUCAGCCAGUCACUAUUCACAAUUCUUGUUUAAUAAAAAGAAAAUCAUUUAAUUCAGCCUGACUUGAUAAUGUCAUUUACGACAGUUUUGUCAAUCAAUGCAUCCACACAUCUUUUUUUCUACUUUCAGGGUUUCAUGGAAUCAUAAGGAAUAAGGCAGAAACCAACCCCGGAUGGGGCACAAGGAGAUCAAAAAUAUUGUCUUUGCCUCCUCUGCUCUGCCUAACAAGCAUCGUCCACCUUUCACCCGACUCUGGCUUGUCCCUGUUAGGCCAGCAAGUACUCUUAUAUUGGCCAACCCGGAAGUGCUUCUGCUGUCCCGUCUAUGUGGUCUGUAAGCACUCCCAGUUAAGGUGGAAACCCUAUGCCAUAUGGCUCCUCAGUCUUUGCAGCGCACCCUGGUAGCAACCAUGGUACCCAAAUGGGCUAAGCAGGGAUAUUCUGUGGCCUUGAAGUGACCCUAGGAUAAGAUUUAAAGCUCGAAGGAGGAAAAGACACCAAGGUCAAGAGACAGACAGAGGGAGGGAAGAAGGUCUAAAGGUGAGUUUCCUUGUGUGGCACAUUUUUAGGCAAGUUGAUGAGCCACAACAUCAGCCAGAUAGAAGUCCAAGACCUGUAUUGUUAGAACCAGAACAGCACCCAAAUUUCUUCCUGUUCAAUUUAUUUUAAACUUUGUUUGCUGCUUGUGAUCAUCUCCUUACUUAUUUUGCCUCUUUGGUGUUAUUCUGUACUAAAUAUAUUGAUUACAAAAUCCAAAAUGUAUUUAUUUUCUGUUCAUUCUAAUUGAAAUUGUGGUGUGUGUGUGGCAGAACCUAUCUUAGCCAUAUCAGGCCACUGGUAUUUAAAUUUCAAAUCAAGCGUGACAAUUUUAUAAAUGAAAGCACGUAGUGUUAGUGUCACAUUAGAUUCUGCCUCCCCGUGCCUAUUGGGUGCCGUCCCUGUUCACAAGAGAUUCUUCCAUUCGAUUCAGGUUUCUAUUGCAAUUGGCAGUUGUGUUGGCAUUCCUGAAUUGCUCUUUUAUCAAUAUGUUUGUGCUUGGCCCUGCCAUGGACUGGCACCCUUGGGUUGACGUCUGCGUUAUACUGCUCUGGCUCUGGCACCCAUGACCCUGACUGAAUUGGAAUAGUGGUUUUGAGAAUGUUAUGUUACGUUACGUUAUGUUAAGUGUGUAUGCAUGAUAUGAAGGACUUGUCUUCCUGUGUGUUGCUCUGGAAACUGCUGAAUUCUUUUCUGGAUGGCAGCCAGUCUUUAUGUCAUAUACCUGUGGUUACCUCAGCUAGGUUUUAUUCCAAACACAUUGUAACCUAGCUAUAAGUUAGCAAGGCAGAGGAAUAAAUGAAUGGAUGAAGUCUGAAAUAACACUUCAUAAUAUGUUUUUAAAAAUUAGUAGCAGGCAGGUUAAGUGGCUUUAUGAGCAAAAUUUGGACCGACAGCCUUGUACCUUGAAAUCACAUUAUCGGCAUAUACGGUAAGCAAAUUAUGCGCUGGAAGUGUUUUUAGGGCAUGCAAAUCUGACUACAAAUACUUGAAAACAGAAAAAAAAAUAG